CAGUAGCCGCGGUAAUACGAGGGGGGCAAGCGUUGUUCGGAUUUAUUGGGCGUAAAGGGUGCGUAGGCGGUUUGGCAAGUCUUGUGUGAAACCUAUGGGCUCAACCCAUAGUCUGCACGGGAAACUGCCGGGCUUGAGAAUGGGAGAGGUGAGUGGAAUUCCCAGUGUAGAGGUGAAAUUCGUAGAUAUUGGGAAGAACACCAGCGGCGAAGGCGGCUCACUGGACCGACACUGACGCUGAGGCGCGAAAGCGUGGGGAGCAAACAGGAUUAGAUACCCGCGUAGUCCCUGUCUCUUAUAA
rnacentral:rRNA from 1 species